GCGAGUCAACGCCGCAAGGCGUGGCAUACGGCUCAGUAACACGUAGUCAACAUGCCCAAGGGACGUGGAUAACCUCGGGAAACUGAGGAUAAACCGCGAUAGGCCAAGAUUUCUGGAAUGGAUCAUGGCUGAAAUCUAUAUGGCCCUUGGAUUGGACUGCGGCCGAUCAGGUUGUUGGUGAGGUAAUGGCCCACCAAACCUAUAACCGGUACGGGCUUUGAGAGAAGGAGCCUGGAGAUGGGCACUGAGACAAGGGCCCAGGCCCUAUGGGGCGCAGCAGGCGCGAAAACUCUGCAAUAGGCGAAAGCUUGACAGGGUUACUCUGAGUGAUGUCCGCUAAGGGCAUCUUUUGGAACCUCUAAAAAUGGUGCAGAAUAAGGGGUGGGCAAGUCUGGUGUCAGCCGCCGCGGUAAUACCAGCACCCCGAGUGGUCGGGACGAUUAUUGGGCCUAAAGCAUCCGUAGCUUGUCCUGCAAGUCUUCCGUUAAAUCCACCUGCUCAACAGAUGGGCUGUGGGAGAUACUACAGGGCUAGGAGGCGGGAGAGGCAAGCGGUACUCAGUGGGUAGGGGUAAAAUCCUCUGAUCCACUGAAGACCACCAGUGGCGAAGGCGGCUUGCCAGAACGCGCUCGACGGUGAGGGAUGAAAGCUGGGGGAGCAAACCGGAUUAGAUACCCGGGUAGUCCCAGCUGUAAACGAUGCAGACUCGGUGAUGGGUUGGCUUCGGGCCAACCCAGUGCCGCAGGGAAGCCGUUAAGUCUGCCGCCUGGGGAGUACGGUCGCAAGACUGAAACUUAAAGGAAUUGGCGGGGGAGCACA
rnacentral:rRNA from 1 species